rnacentral:rRNA from 1 species
UUUUUUUUGAAGAGUUUGAUCCUGGCUCAGGACGAACGUUGGCGGUGUGUCUAAGGCAUGCAAGUCGAACGAGAUC